rnacentral:rRNA from 1 species
UACGGAGGGGGCUAGCGUUGUUCGGAAUUACUGGGCGUAAAGCGUACGUAGGCGGCUUUGUAAGUUAGAGGUGAAAGCCCGGGGCUCAACUCCGGAAUUGCCUUUAAGACUGCAUCGCUUGAAUCAUGGAGAGGUGAGUGGAAUUCCGAGUGUAGAGGUGAAAUUCGUAGAUAUUCGCAAGAACACCAGUGGCGAAGGCGGCUCACUGGCCCGAUACUGACGCUGAGGUGCGAAAGCGUGGGGAGCAAACAGG